rnacentral:rRNA from 1 species
CAGCCCUAAACGAUGCGCGUUAGGUGUAUCGGUGACCACGAGUCACCGAGGUGCCGAAGGGAAACCGUGAAACGUGCCGCCUGGGAAGUACGGUCGCAAGGCUGAAACUUAAAGGAAUUGGCGGGGAGCACCACAACGGGUGGAGCCUGCGGUUUAAUUGGACUCAACGCCGGGAAGCUCACCGGAUAAGACAGCGGAAUGACUGCCGGGCUGAAGACCCUGCAUGACCAGCUGAGAGGAGGUGCAUGGCGUAGUCGUGU